rnacentral:rRNA from 1 species
UACAGAGGUCUCAAGCGUUGUUCGGAUUCAUUGGGCGUAAAGGGUGUGUAGGUGGCGCCGUAAGUCGGGUGUGAAAUUUCGGAGCUUAACUCCGAAACUGCAUUCGAUACUGCCGUGCUUGAGGACUGGAGAGGAGACUGGAAUUUACGGUGUAGCGGUGAAAUGCGUAGAUAUCGUAAGGAAGACCAGUGGCGAAGGCGGGUCUCUGGACAGUUCCUGACGCUGAUGCACGAAGGUCAGGGGAGCAAACGGG